rnacentral:lncRNA from 1 species
CUCAAUGCACUUCACAAAUCUCCUUCAAAUGAAAACUUCUUCAACACAAACAAAGAGUUUUCUAAAGAAAGAAACUAAAAGAAAGCUUUUAAAAACUAAGAAUUUAAAUUGCAAAAAUUUAAACAAGACGACUCCUAAUGGUGAGGCUUGUUGGCACUUAUGAACCUUCAAGCCACACUCACCGUCUAAAGCGUGUAUCUAAUAAGAAAAUUAAAGAAAUUUGUAAGAGAUGGAAGAACACCAAAGGCUCUUCCAGGACACCUAAAGUAAAGAUAAUGGCCAAAUUACAAAACAAUUGAAAUCACACAAAAUUUUAAAAAAUAAUAUUCAAAGUUCUUUUCUGUUCUGUUCUCUCACAAGUGUUUCUCUGCAAGCCUUUACUUGUUUGUCCUCCAAAGGUGAGUACCUCUUGCAAAGUCCUUUGCCUUCUCUUAGGAUGCUACCUAGAAAUUAGCUCAAUUUUCACAAAGAACAAAUUCAAGGUAUAUUACACUUCAAGAGGUUAAUAAUAAAAGUAAUAAAAGUUCAAUUUGAAGAGUGAAACUCAAAGGAGAUUAGAGAUGACAAACACAAAGAUUAUCUCAAGACAAGCAAGAAAUUAAAGGUUUUCAAGAAAGCACUCAAAAGAAAACACCUAAAGAUAGACACUAAAAUGGAUUACAAAAUUAAAAUAAAGAAUGACCAAAUUUCUUAGUAAAGCAUGAAAUCCAAAAUGUUGCUGGUCCCAUGUAGAUUGGUCCAAAGAAUUCAAUUCCCGCAAGUCCCGCGCUAAAGAAUCUCCAAUUGCCAAAUUUCUCACCAAAAUUUAGGCUCCCUUAUUCAACAAAUUGAAUUUAACUUUAAAGAAUGGGUCCCACAGUGUGAUUGCAAAUUCCAAUAACUGCCAAUACACACUUCUAAUUACUCAACACAACCAAUUUUUUUAGUUAAAAGCACCUACAAUCACGCUUUCAGCACACGCUUCAGCUUUCACCAAUUUAGCUUAUACAUUUGCUUUCACUGAUUCUACUUUAAUUUCUUCAAUUAAUUGCGCACCUUGCUAGUACUUAAUUCACGCUGCACCUUCGACACACCAUUUCUCAUCAAAUUCUUCAAAUUCACGGACCCCACAAUUCACUGCAUCAGCUUCAAUCAAUUUGCAAUUCACAAAUUGAAUUCAAAUGCAGACAUACUCCUUUUUUAAAUUAAAAACUGCACCAAAAUGAUCAACAAUUUCAACCAAUUUGCAAUUCAAGAUGAUCACUGCACCAACAAAAACUAGAAAAUUGCAACUGCAGAAAAUUUGUCACCGUUUGAAUUCAAUCUCACAAUUUAUUUUUUAAAUACCAAUUCUAAUCACCAAUUCUCGGUCCAUCACUUCACGAAUAGCUCCUUCAAUACUUUUAUCAAACAGUUGACACACACACCUUAAUGCAUUAAACACUUGCACUCAACACCAAAUUCAUGCAAUCCAAAUCAUUUCGUGGCACAACUCAGAGCUUCAAUCAUGGUGGAUUGCACUCGUGAAGCCAAAUUUUGGAACAGAUCCACCUUAAUUGUUCUUCCGUUUCCAAACGAUUCUCAAUCAAUCAACCAAUUUCAUUCGCCAAUAAUUUCCAGAACCGUAAAUUCAGAAUUUCAAGGAGAACCGCACAACUAUUUUACUGAUAUUCAGCUGCACCGUUAAAUUGAUUAAGUGCAAAACUUCAAUUGCUAUGCUCACUGAAUAUAUCAAGCGUGUAAACUGUUUGUUAGAAAGCUUCAAAGAAAUUUUAAUUUGUAGAAAAUACAAGAAUUGAUUCUAAUCAGAAUUUUUUUUGAAACAUCUUUAUCAAAUGAAUUAAACUUUCAAACUCAGUGUAAUGCCGAAUUCAUCUGAUUUUUCAUAUGUAUGAAUUGUACCUUUUAAUCACGAAUAAACAAUUCCAGCAAAUGCUCAAUCGGUACAUCAGCAGAAAUUCUUCAGCGCCUUUCAAAUCGCGAUUCACUCAUUCGUCACUGCUUUGCUUCAUCAAAUUAAACCCGAUCAAGAUCAAUGUUUUGCUUCGAAAUCAACAUCUACUUCAGUCAUCUUCAACAUUUCGCCAGAAUGUGAAACUUAAUCCGCGAACGAUUAUAAUUCCUUUGAGAAUGCUCUUCGUUUGAGAUGACGAAGUUAAUCGGUCAGUUCUCCGUGCACUGAUUCUGUUUGUCGGAAAACCACUAAAACCUAUGUUCGCGAUUCUUCCAACACCUCAAUGUUUCUCCGUUUUGCUUCUUCACAGUUGCUCCAGGAAAACGAAGAACAAUGAACGCAAAAGGCAGAACCAAAAUUUUCGGAAUCGGAAUUGAAAGCAGAAGAAGAACUUACAUGAACCAAUUCCGACUAAGCACGAAAGGAACCGAAACUUUAGAUUCUGUUUUCUGACUUCCUAUUCCAGAUUCAAAUUCUCCUCCGGCGCCGUUCGCAGUUGAAGACGAAAUCAUACUCCCGAAGUCUUGUAGUGCGAAAACUGUGGAAGCGUCGCGCACCAAUUUCACUCACACUGGACUUGUUCCGAUUCCAAUUUCAUGAACACUCAGAAGAUGAAGAACAGCAACACAAAUCGCAGAGAAAAUUUGAGGAAAAUCUGAAAAUCUAAACCAAAUCUGCUAUUGGCAGCGCAGAUCCAACAAUUUUCAUAAACAGUUCACAUUACUGCUCACACCACUUGAUUUUCUUUUUGAACCACGAAAAAUUUUCGGACAAAUUUCGAGAACUUUCGAAAAUGAUUUUUGAAGAGAAUGAUAAUGGAAAGCUAACUCAAAGAAAAUUGUUGAUGAUCUAGUAGCAAUUUAUG